GAGGGUGUAGCUCGGUGGUAGAGCACAUACCUAGCAAGCACAAGGUCCUGGGUUCAAUCCCUAGUACCUCCA
rnacentral:tRNA from 1 species